rnacentral:lncRNA from 1 species
AUGAUGUUAGGUUAUUCCCUGUGCCUCCUGUGUGUCUGUCUUCUGUCCUGGUGUUGUGAUGCCACGUCACUAGGUCAUCAGGAUCUACAGUCAGGAUCAUGGCAAGUAACUUUUAUGCUCUUGUAUCAGGAAGGAGAAAUAUUAGGUAUGGAUUACACUGAAACAAUGUAUCAAAAGAAAAACCUGGAGUUUAUAUACUGCUUGUAGUGAUUGAUAAGGACUUCAUAGAGAUAAGAUACCAGGGUCUUGUAUGUAGGUUCACAUGUGUAUAAGAUUCUCCCUAAGCAGCCUAAGUUGUGGCAUGGGCACAUUCCUGUUAA